CACCAGGCCUUGCAGCUGGGACCUGCCACCUUCCCCGAAGGCUUGGCCCAGCUCUCUAAGAGCUUCUCACUGAAGGAGAGAAAGAGAGAGAGAGAGAGAGAGAGAGAGAGAGAACACGAACAGGAGGGCGGGAGGAGCCUCACAGGAGAGUCCCAACCCCCACCAUCAGAAUUGGCAGGAAGGAAACCUGGUGGGGGAGGGGUGGGGAGAGUGCCAGAGAAGCUCAGAGAGGACUGCACUCCUGGCUUCCAGCUAUAGGGGUUCUUUUCACUAACUAAUUUCAUAGUAAAUUUUAAAGGAACUGGUCCCAACUCUGCCCUUUUCUUGUGUGACCUCUGAGAAGGCUGCAGGCACCCAGAGAGGACAGGCUCCAACCCGCCCCAGGAGUGAUGCCUGAGACCAAGGGGAAAGAUGGACAGUGGAUAUUCUGGGCGAGGCAGAGAGCACCACACAGCCCUAGGGUUCCUGUGCUGGUGUGCACUGCAGCUCCAGCUUCGCAGAAUUGCCAAGGAGACCGUGAGCAACCCCACACAGGAUGGUCUCAUCCCGGCUUACACCCCACAGUGCACAUGCAGAGCACAUAUAUGAAGAAUGAAUACACGAAGCCACCAGGAACUCACUCUAUCUGGAUGAGGCUGAAACUUCAGGCUACCUGGCUAAUCAGAGCAUUCCACGGCCUUGAGCUCAGUGAUUGGGCCUGAGGCAGUCACAUGAUCCACAUCAGCCAAUGAGAGGAAGACCUGGGAUUCUUGGCAGAGUUACCAGGAGAGAAAUGCUGCUUUUUCAUGGGGAUUACCUAGCGGUAGAACAUAAGCCUGGAACCAUCAGUGCCCAUCUUCGAGGCUUUCUGCGGGAAGCUCCUGUCUGUGAAUGAAGCCAGAACCAAAGAGAGCAAAGCCAAAAGUUAGAAAUGCAUAUGUAUGCAAGGGUGGUAUUGGAGUCCCUGGACCCAGCCAGGUCUGAAGCCAGCACUACUCCUGGGUUUUUCAGCUACAUGAGCCAAAAAAAAUGUCUGUUUUGAGUAAGCCACUUUGAAUUAGGUUUCUGUCAUUUCCAAAUUAAGUCACCAGGUGUGAGAAUCUUUUUCUAUCUAAAAAAUCACAUUAGGAAAAAAGAGCUUAACAAAGUGGUAAUAGUGGCAGUCACCCACAGACAGCCCUGGGGGCUUGUGGUACAGGGCUGGG
rnacentral:lncRNA from 12 species